rnacentral:lncRNA from 1 species
GGCUGAGGCAGGAAGAUCACUUGCAUUCAAGGCCAGCCUACGCUACAUAGUGAGCUCAAGGCAGGCCUGUACUACAAAGUGAGACUCUGUCUCGAUAAAAUAAAAUAAAAGUUAAAGUGCAGAUGCCAGUGUAGACAUUUAAAAAGUUAGAGUGGUAAACAAGCAAGCAGCUGUCAUUUACCUUUGCUAAACUCCCUGCUCCUAGGUUUGGUCCAAAGUGAUCCUAAAGAUCAACUGACCCAUUACACUGCAGUUGCGUUUUCCCACUGGUGGAUUUGGGGUAGGCUUUCUCGGGAGAGAUGCCUGUCAUUUCUAGUGGAUUACACUCCAGGAAAAAAGUCAGGCCUGUGUUAUUUCAGUUGUUCUGGCGCUGAUCCCCCAGCUCACAAUUAUGGUCUUUGACUUUGGUAACAGUUCUGUUUGAAAUGUUUCCAGUUACACACAAUAUUGGUGGCAUGUAGCAGCUGCAUGCCAAAAAGCAUUUCUAAGUGUGCUCCAAGAGUCAGGCUGUGAUUGCUUUUAAUUUAAAUAAAGGCUAUUUGGUUUCCUGUGAUGUUUUUUAUAACCACCUUUUCCUCCACGUGUGUUGCCUUUUUAAAAAAUCUAAUAUAAAGUAGCCACCACUUAAUGAGACAUAAUAUUGGCCCUGGUUUUCUAGGAUGCCAUUUGCUUUGAGCAAGCACAAGGGACUUUUUAAUAAAGGAAUUUUAAAGAAACAUUGUAAUGCAAUUUGGAUUUCCCCAAAGAAGAAAAGGGGGAAAGGUUAUCUGAUACCAUAUUGUAAGUAGUUAAUGUUUUCAAGUUUUCUUCCCUUCCUCUUUGGAGACCUAUCAUACUUAUCUUUUUAGAUCACCAGAUAUCACCCAAUACACUGUCUUUUUUUUUAUUCCUCUAUUUUCUUUUGGUAGAUUCAUAAAGAAGUGUUUAAAAAAACUUUAAAAGGAUAGAGAAAGGUUAAUAAGAACAUUCUUUAAAAAGAGGAGAAGCUGGCAAAUAAUUUCACAGUCUACAGAAACUAAACCCUCCAAAUCUGCCUCUUCUGUGGGCUUGAAAUUUCUGAACACUGAAACCUUUUAAAACUUCGGUGGCUUCAAUCUUUUAAUAGCUACCACGUAUAUUUGAUUUAUUAAGUCUGAAAAUAAGAAAAUAUACACUCUCAGGACUUGGAGUGAAUGGAUUGGUAAUAGGACUGGGGAGUUCUGUUCUCAGGACUUUGUUGGACCACCUGAAACGGAACACCGGCGCUAGAAGAGAGCCCACGGGUGAGGUGCUAAGAUGGUCCCAAUUAAGGUGUUUUUACACGAGCCCUUUCAGUCCUGGCAAAACACCCCAGAGAAUGCAGUGGUUCUUUGGGUGGAACAGUAGCUGACUUGCAUAAAUGCCAACAUCUCUUCUGGCGUUUUUGGAAAUCUUCCAUCAUGUAAUAAAUAGUGCUGUAUAAACCAAAUUUGUAAAUGCCAUGUUUCAUGUUGCUCCUGUAGAGACAGCUGAAAUUAACCCAGGCUGCUAGGGACCACGGAGAUCCUGGAGGUUAGUGUACUGCCUAAACCCAAAGCAUGAUCAGGGACAAAGGCUAGUGGAGGUCUUUGAUCACAUUUGGGAGAAGGUAUGAGAUUAGUUUUUAAUAGGGCGGGGUGCCAUGAAGAAGUGCCCGCCAGCCAAUACUUUGACUUUUUCUUUUCAUCCUCUUUAUCCUUGGAGACUGUCUUUCAACUGAAC